CCUACGGGUGGCAGCAGUGAGGAAUAUUGGUCAAUGGACGAGAGUCUGAACCAGCCAAGUAGCGUGAAGGAUGACUGCCCGAUGGGUUGUAAACUUCUUUUAUAAAGGAAUAAAACGAGGCACGUGUGCCGUUUUGCAUGUACUUUAUGAAUAAGGAUCGGCUAACUCCGUGCCAGCAGCCGCGGUAAUACGGAGGAGCCGAGCGUUAUCCGGAUUUAUUGGGUUUAAAGGGAGCGUAGAUGGGUUGUUAAGUCAGUUGUGAAAGUUUGCGGCUCAACCGUAAAAUUGCAAUUGAUACUGGCAGUCUUGAGUACAGUUGCGUUCGGCGGAAUUCGUGGUGUAGCGGU
rnacentral:rRNA from 1 species